CCCGGUGCCGGAAGGUUAAUUGAUGGGGUUAGUCUUCGGACGAAGCUCUUGAUCGAAGCCCCGGUAAACGGCGGCCGUAACUAUAGAUUGUUGUAGUUACGCAAAUAAACUUGGCUAUAUGCUGGAAACUCCGAGAAUCCGCUGGUACUCGCUCGAUAUAAUGAGCAGUGACAAUCCAAGCGGUGCGGACAAUCAGCAGGAAAGGCUUCUAGUAUGACUUCACUAAACGUUAAAGAGAUUCCGGACAAAAUUGGUUAUUACCUUGCAGGUUUUACCGAUGGAGAAGGGAGUUUCAAUGUGUCUUUUCGAAAACGUAAAGACUAUUCCAAUCCAUGGAAAGUCUCGUUGUGUUUCAACGUGUCGCAAAAAGAUAAAGUCAUUUUGGCUUUGUUUAAGCGACACCUGAAAUGUGGCACUUUGCGAAGUCGAAAUGACGGCGUUUGGUAUUAUGAAGUCAAUAAUUUCACCGCGAUUCAGGAAAAUGUAAUACCGUUUUUCAGAAGAUUUGGUUUUCUGUCUGCUAAGAAGAAACGUGAUUUUGCGAAAUUUAUGCAAAUAGCGAAUCUGAUUAAAGAUGGAGAGCAUCUGAAGAAAAGUGGCAUAAAGCAGAUUCUUGCAAUCAGAAAACAGAUGAAUGAUGGCGGAGCUGGAAGAAGAAAAUACAGCGAUGCUGAAAUUUUGAAGUUGGUGAAAACAGAAGAAUCCUCAGAGACUAUACGCCAGGCAUGAUUCAGACAUUUUUAACCGAUGUCGCUAGUCUGAAUGAUGAUGAUAUAGUCCGAUCUGCAUAGCGAUAUGCAGGGUUUUUGUUCCUUUGAUAAAAACGUAUGAAUCGUGCAUACGAAGCUACUGCUUAAACCUAUCCGGUUGCAUGUUUGACCGGGGAUAACACAGGAUGAACGGUCCUAAGGUAGCGAAAUUCCUUGUCGGGUAAGUUCCGACCUGCACGAAUGGCGUAACGAUGGCCACACUGUCUCCACCAGAGACUCAGUGAAAUUGAAAUCGCUGUUAAGAUGCAGCGUACCCGCGGCAAGACGGAAAGACCCCGUGCACCUUUACUAUAGCUUUACACUGAAUUUUGAAUAUGUCUGUGUAGGAUAGCUGGGAGGCUUUGAAGCGUGAUCGCUAGAUUGCGUGGAGCCAACCUUGAAAUACCAGCCUGAUAUGUUUGGAGUUCUAACCCAGGUCCAUUAUCUGGAUCGGGGACCGUGUAUGGUGGGUAGUUUGACUGGGGCGGUCUCCUCCUAAAGAGUAACGGAGGAGCGCAAUGGUACUCUCAGUACGGUCGGACAUCGUACGUUGCGUGCAAAGGCAUAAGAGUGCUUGACUGCGAGACAGACACGUCGAGCAGGGGCGAAAGCCGGUCUUAGUGAUCCGGUGGUUCUGUAUGGAAGGGCCAUCGCUCAACGGAUAAAAGGUACGCCGGGGAUAACAGGCUGAUUCCUCCCAAGAGUCCACAUCGACGGAGGAGUUUGGCACCUCGAUGUCGGCUCAUCACAUCCUGGGGCUGUAGCAGGUCCCAAGGGUAUGGCUGUUCGCCAUUUAAAGUGGUACGCGAGCUGGGUUUAGAACGUCGUGAGACAGUUCGGUCCCUAUCUGCCGUGGGCGUUGGAAAUUUGAGAAGAGCUGCUCCUAGUACGAGAGGACCGGAGUGGACGUAUCUCUGGUGUUCCGGUUGUCACGCCAGUGGCAUUGCCGGGUAGCUACAUACGGACAGGAUAACCGCUGAAAGCAUCUAAGCGGGAAGCCCCCUUCAAGAUCAGAUUUCCCUGGACCCUUGAGGUCCCUGAAGAGCCCUCGAAGACUACGAGGUUGAUAGGCUGGGUGUGGAAGCGUAGUAAUGCGUGAAGCUAACCAGUACUAAUUGCUCGUGCGGCUUGGCCAU
rnacentral:rRNA from 1 species